UGUAUUUGCACUUAAAAAGGUAUAAUUUUUUCAAGUAUUUCCAAAGGCAUCUUGAUUAAUGACCCUAGGCCGAACAAUGGGUCAGAACUCUGUUGUUUCGACGGGGACUGUGGUAGCUGCUGGUAGUGUUGAAGUUGGUAGCUGCGAGGUUGGUAGCCUUGAGGUUGGUGUUGAGGUUGGUAGCUGCGAGGUUGGUAGCCUUGAGGUUGAUGUUGAGGUUGUUGGAAACGUUGAAGUGGGCCAUGUGGGGCGGCAGUUAUUAGUGACAUGGACA